rnacentral:rRNA from 1 species
AACGAACGCUGGCGGCAGGCCUAACACAUGCAAGUCGAGCGGACUCUUCGGGGUUAGCGGCGGACGGGUGAGUAACGCGUGGGAACGUGCCCUUUUCUUCGGAAUAGCCCUGGGAAACUGGGAGUAAUACCGGAUACGCCCUUUUGGGGAAAGAUUUAUCGUCGAAGGAUCGGCCCGCGUUGGAUUAGGUAGUUGGUGGGGUAAUGGCCUACCAAGCCGACGAUCCAUAGCUGGUUUGAGAGGAUGAUCAGCCACACUGGGACUGAGACACGGCCCAGACUCCUACGGGAAGCAGCAGUGGGGAAUCUUAGACAAUGGGGGAAACCCUGAUCUAGCCAUGCCGCGUGAGCGAUGAAGGCCUUAGGGUUGUAAAGCUCUUUCACCGGGGAAGAUAAUGACGGUACCCGGAGAAGAAGCCCCGGCUAACUCCGUG